CAGUGGGGAAUAUUGCACAAUGGGCGCAAGCCUGAUGCAGCCAUGCCGCGUGUAUUGAAGAAGGCCUUCGGGUUGUAAAGUACUUUCAGCAGUGAGGAAGGUGGGUAUGUUAAUAGCAUAUUCAUUUGACGUUAGCUGCAGAAGAAGCACCGGCUAACUCCGUGCCAGCAGCCGCGGUAAUACGGAGGGUGCGAGCGUUAAUCGGAAUUACUGGGCGUAAAGCGCAUGCAGGUGGUUUGUUAAGUCAGAUGUGAAAGCCCCGGGGCUCAACCUCGGAAUUGCAUUUGAAACUGGCAAACUAGAGUACUGUAGAGGGGGUAGAAUUUCAGGUGUAGCGGUGAAAAUGCGUAGAGAUCUGAAGGAAUACCGGUGGCGAAGGCGGCCCCCUGGACAGAUACUGACACUCAGAUGCGAAAGCGUGGGGAGCAAACAGGAUUAGAUACCCUGGUAG
rnacentral:rRNA from 1 species